UCUCUCUCUCUCCCUUCUUCCUUUCCCCUCUAUAACCCUGUGAAUAAAUAUUAAAUCUUACUCUACAUGUGUCUAUCCAUGUCUCUGUCUGCUGUCUACCCGCCCCUGCCGCGAGCCGCUCCGGGGGUUCAGCACCGGGGACCCACUGUGAGCUCGCUGCCCACUCACACCCGCCUGCUUGGGUGGCUCUCCUGGGAAACUGCGAGUCUCUGCCUUGGGAUUGGCUGCUCCCAGAGCUCGCUGCCCGCCUGCAGCCCGGACUCUCCAGCAUUCCCAGCCGCUAGCUGCUCGGGGAACCGUCCGGGGACUUAGGAACAAAAGGUAAGUCUUGGACCAGAAGUGGCCUGGUACAGAACUCUUGGCACUUUUCCCUCUGGAGGAAAGUACGACUUUUGGAGCUUCCAUUCUGGAGGUCUUUAUGGAUACAGGAAUGGUAAGGUCUGGGGAGGGUAUAGAAGAGAGAAGAGGGGGAAGGGAGAAGGAAGGAGACAGGGAGGGAGUCAGAGACAGAGG